GCGAUGGUGGUUUAGUGGUAGAAUUUUUGCCUUUCAUGUGGGAGACCUGGGUUCAAUUCCUGGCUAGUGCA
rnacentral:tRNA from 1 species